rnacentral:rRNA from 1 species
UACGAAGGGGGCUAGCGUUGCUCGGAAUUACUGGGCGUAAAGCGCACGUAGGCGGCUCUUUAAGUCGGAGGUGAAAUCCUGGAGCUCAACUCCAGAACUGCCUUCGAUACUGAAGAGCUCGAGUCCGGGAGAGGUGAGUGGAACUGCGAGUGUAGAGGUGAAAUUCGUAGAUAUUCGCAAGAACACCAGUGGCGAAGGCGGCUCACUGGCCCGGUACUGACGCUGAGAUGCGAAAGCGUGGGGAGCAAACAGG